rnacentral:rRNA from 1 species
GGCGACGAUCAGUAGCCGGCCUGAGAGGGUGAUCGGCCACACUGGAACUGAGACACGGUCCAGACUCCUACGGGAGGCAGCAGUGGGGAAUAUUGGACAAUGGGGGAAACCCUGAUCCAGCAACGCCGCGUGGAGGAUGAAGGUCUUCGGAUUGUAAACUCCUGUUAGGGGGGACGAAGGGAUGUCGGUGAACAGCCGGCAAACUUGACGGUACCCCCAGAGGAAGCCCCGGCUAACUCUGUGCCAGCAGCCGCGGUAAUACAGAGGGGGCAAGCGUUAUUCGGAAUUAUUGGGCGUAAAGGGCGCGUAGGCGGCCUUGUAAGUCUUGGGUGAAAUCCCUCAGCUCAACUGAGGAACUGCCUCGGAAACUGCAAGGCUUGAGGCCGGGAGAGGGUAGUGGAAUUCCCAGUGUAGCGGUGAAAUGCGUAGAUAUUGGGAGGAACACCGGUGGCGAAGGCGGCUACCUGGACCGGUUCUGACGCUGAUGCGCGAAAGCGUGGGUAGCAAACAGGAUUAGAUACCCUGAUAGCCCACGCUGUAAACGAUGGGUGCUCGGUGUCGCGGGUAUCGACCCCUGCGGUGCCUUAGUUAACACGUUAAGCACCCCGCCUGGGGAGUACGGUCGCAAGGCUGAAACUCAAAGGAAUUGACGGGGGCCCGCACAAGCGGUGGAGCAUGUGGUUUAAUUCGAUGCAACGCGAAGAACCUUACCUGGGCUCGAACGGUGGUGGACAGCGGUAGAAAUACCGACUUCUCUUCGGAGACCGCCAUCGAGGUGCUGCAUGGCUGUCGUCAGCUCGUGUCGCGAGAUGUUGGGUUAAGUCCCGCAACGAGCGCAACCCCUAUUCUUAGUUGCUACCAGGUGAUGCUGAGCACUCUAAGGAGACUGCCUCAGAAAUCGGGGAGGAAGGUGGGGAUGACGUCAAGUCCUCAUGGCCUUUAUGUCCAGGGCUACACACGUGCUACAAUGGACGGUACAAAGGGUCGCAAAGCCGCGAGGCAGAGCUAAUCUCAAAAAACCGUCCUCAGUACGGAUUGCAGUCUGCAACUCGACUGCAUGAAGCUGGAAUCGCUAGUAAUCCCGGAUCAGCAUGCCGGGGUGAAUACGUUCCCGGGCCUUGUACACACCGCCCGUCACAUCACGAAAGCCGGUUGUACCGGAAGUCGGUUCGCUAACCGCAAGGAGGCAACUGCCCAUGGUAUGGUCGGUGAUUGGGGUGAAGUCGUAACAAGGUA